UACGUAGGGGGCAAGCGUUGUCCGGAUUUAUUGGGCGUAAAGAGCGUGUAGGCGGCCAUACAGGUCAGCUGUGAAAACUCGAGGCUCAACCUCGAGACGUCGGUUGAAACCGUAGUGGCUAGAGUCCGGAAGAGGAGAGUGGAAUUCCCGGUGUAGCGGUGAAAUGCGCAGAUAUCGGGAAGAACACCCGUGGCGAAGGCGGCUCUCUGGGCCUGUACUGACGCUGAGGAGCGAAAGCGUGGGGAGCAAACAGGGAUUAAGAAACCCUGG
rnacentral:rRNA from 1 species